UAGUUGGCGGGGUAAUGGCCCACCAAGGCGACGACGGGUAGCUGGUCUGAAGAGGAUGGCCAGCCACAUUGGGACUGAGAGACGGCCCAGACUCCUACGGGAGGCAGCAGUGGGGAAUCUUGCGCAAUGGCCGAAAGGCUGACGCAGCGACGCCGCGUGUGGGAGGACGCCUUUCGGGGUGUAAACCACUGUUGCCCGGGACGAACAGCCCUUUUCGAGGGGUCUGACGGUACCGGGUGAGGAAGCACCGGCUAACUCCGUGCCAGCAGCCGCGGUAAUACGGAGGGUGCGAGCGUUGUCCGGAAUCAUUGGGCGUAAAGGGCGCGUAGGUGGCGCGGUAAGCGUGCGGUGAAAGCCUGGGGCUCAACCCCGGGUCGGCCGUGCGAACUGCUGGGCUUGAGCACUGUAGAGGCAGGCGGAAUUCCGGGUGUAGCGGUGGAAUGCGUAGAGAUCCGGAAGAACACCGGUGGCGAAGGCGGCCUGCUGGGCAGUUGCUGACACUGAGGCGCGACAGCGUGGGGAGCAAACAGGAUUAGAUACCCUGGUAGUCCACGCCGUAAACGAUGGGCACUAGGCGCUUGGGGGAGCGACCCCCCGAGGGCCGGCGCUAACGCAUUAAGUGCCCCGCCUGGGGAGUACGGCCGCAAGGCUGAAACUCAAAGGAAUUGACG
rnacentral:rRNA from 1 species